UCCUUAAGGAGUAGCAUUUGAUGACAUUUCCCACAUUUAUUUGCAUGGGUCAGUUUUGCUUGUCCCUCACCAAGUAACGUCCUGAUAACGUCAUACAUAAAACUGUAUUUUGCACCCUUAAGGAGUAGCAUUUGAUGACAUUUCCCACAUUUAUUUGCAUGGGUCAGUUUUGCUUGUCCCUCACCAAGUAACGUCCUGAUAACGUCAUACAUAAAACUGUGUUUUGC